rnacentral:rRNA from 1 species
AUUGAACGCUGGCGGCAUGCAUUACACAUGCAAGUCGAACGGCAGCACGGACUUCGGUCUGGUGGCGAGUGGCGAACGGGUGAGUAAUGUAUCGGAACGUACCUUUCAGUGGGGGAUAACGUAGCGAAAGUUACGCUAAUAUCGCAUAUUCUGUGAGCAGGAAAGCAGGGGAUCGCAAGACCUUGCGCUGAUUGAGCGGCCGAUAUCAGAUUAGCUAGUUGGUGGGGUAAAGGCCUACCAAGGCUACGAUCUGUAGCGGGUCUGAGAGGAUGAUCCGCCACACUGGAACUGAGACACGGUCCAGACUCCUACGGGAGGCAGCAGUGGGGAAUUUUGGACAAUGGGGGCAACCCUGAUCCAGCCAUGCCGCGUGAGUGAAGAAGGCCUUCGGGUUGUAAAGCUCUUUCGGCCGGGAAGAAAUCGCAUAGGCUAAUACCCUGUGUGGAUGACGGUACCGGAAUAAGAAGCACCGGCUAACUACGUGCCAGCCGCCGCAGUAAAAC